rnacentral:rRNA from 1 species
CACGUAGGCACCAAGCGUUGUCCGGAUUUAUUGGGCGUAAAGAGCUCGUAGGCGGCUUGGCAAGUCGGGUGUGAAAACUUCAGGCUCAACCUGGAGCGGCCACUCGAUACUGCCAUGGCUUGAGUCCGGUAGGGGACCACGGAAUUCCUGGUGUAGCGGUGAAAUGCGCAGAUAUCAGGAGGAACACCGGUGGCGAAGGCGGUGGUCUGGGCCGGAACUGACGCUGAGGAGCGAAAGCGUGGGGAGCGAACAGG